UACGUGGGGUGCAAGCGUUGUUCGGAAUUACUGGGCGUAAAGGGCUCGUAGGCGGCCUAGUAAGUCAGACGUGAAAUCCCUCGGCUUAACCGGGGAACUGCGCUUGAUACUGGAUGGCUUGAGUGUGGGAGAGGGAUGCGGAAUUCCAGGUGUAGCGGUGAAAUGCGUAGAUAUCUGGAGGAACACCGGUGGCGAAGGCGGCAUCCUGGACCAAAACUGACGCUGAGGAGCGAAAGCCAGGGGAGCAAACGGG
rnacentral:rRNA from 1 species